rnacentral:lncRNA from 1 species
UUUUGGAAAACUGCUCCGGCCGUACGGCAGCCUGACACACCUGUUUUUCCGUUUGCAUACAACUCUUUGGUGCGGGGAUUUGCUAGUAUGAUAAGAAUGUUUGCUACAGGACUCUUUCGGCGCUUAAGCUAUCGCCAGUUGCUGGUACGUUGUAUCAACCGACAAGCGCAUGUACUGGAAGGCGCAGUCAUUCGCCCUGGAUAGAUUCCAUAGUGUCCCAAGGCGGCAGCUACCUUGUCCAUAAUGUUAUUGCGCUGAUACUUUCACGCGCAGAGCACCUUCCAGCGUCUCCGGCCUUUCUCCCCUCCCCCGUAUCCAUUCCUGCAAAGCUCUCAACUCUCGGAUGACGCGACGCCGCCCUGAACUAAUCCCACAACCUUUAUCUCCGCAACUCCCGCCGAGAUCAGCUUGGCGCACGGGGCGACCCCUUGCCCCGCCGUCGAUCGGCCUCCGCUGCCACAACCCCAGCACCACAGGACGCCCCUCGUGCCGCCCUCUUAGUGAUUGGUGACGAGAUCUUAUCUGGAUCUGUGGUUGACACCAACACGCCAUGGCUGGCAAAGCUGCUGUACAGGCGAGAGAGACCAGGGCCGGCUCCAGGGAGGGAUGGGGUGAAUCAUAU